AUAUGUGGAAAUAUGUUUAUUGUGUAAUGUGCAUGUAUAUAAAGUGCAUGUAUAUAAGCAUAUGUGGAAAUAUGUCUAUUGUGUGACGGACCAUGCAAAAACUAUGUGGUGUGAAUUGUGCAUUAGGAACGUGCAGGUAAAACAGGUGUGUUUCCCACUGGACACUUGUUGCAUAUGGGAAAGAAUAUGCGCAAGUAUGCCAAGAUGCAAACGCAAACGGACGGAGUUCGGGUUGAACCUGCUAAUUGUUGCACUUCACUUUUCGUUUAAGCGGACCAGCGCGGUACCGGCGUUAGACGAGAUGAGGCCCUUGGAUAAGGGACGGACAGCGGGAUGCUGUUCCGUUGUGGGGGUCGGCGGACAGACCGACAGUGAACAAAUAUGGCGUAUCCAACGCCAGGAACAAGCUGGGGCGAACGGUCGUAGGCUGCACAGGACUUGGAAGGAACAGGAGGUGCACCUGAAGAUCCGGCUCGAAGGACAAUGUUGGCGUGGGGCGUUGGGGGUGAAAGUCCAAAAACCGCAAGGGAAGUAAAAUGGCGUCUGCUUUCCUUUUCACUGUGACGUGACUCGCACUGGCGCUUAGCUGCCCAUAUGAAAGAGGGAGAGGCCGCCGACGCUAGCAGCGCUCUGCCAGCAGAUGUUGCUGGCAAGCGUUGCCAUGUCAACACUGGCAGAGUGCUGCCACAUCAACACUUGCUUUGGUUUUUCUCCUGCUCCGGGACUUUUAUCACCCCAUCUCACCCCAUAAAUGGACUCUACUCCAGAUUCAUAUUCAAAUUUUAAAUUUUAUUACAAUAAAACAAGUAAAAAAGCUAAAGUCGGGUGUCCCGACUUUGAAAUACUCUGUACAUAUGUUUACAAUAAUUAUAGAAA